UCAAUGCCAAAUCCAAAAGUCCUUCAUCAGGAGGCACCGUCUCAGCCCUAACAGACUAGGGAAAACUAGACGUAAAAAAAAAAAAAAAAAAAAAAAAAAUCAGUGGCGGCUCCUCAAUAGGGACUGCGAGACUGCAGCCCCCCCCCCAAAUGGAUUUCUAGGAUUCACGAAAAUAAUGUUAAUUUAUUUAUGUUUGACUAUCAUUCACAUGAAAACACCAAUUGUCAUAUGUUUAUAUGAAAAAAAAAAUACUGCAAAACAAUGAGGAAGUACGGAAAUUAUUUACUAUUUAAUGAUACGAAAGCGGGGAGAAAUGGGGGGAGGCUUCCUGGGCGGAAUGGCGAGUGUGGACUGCAUCCAGCGCAGUCUUGUCUCAGCCGUUGUUGUGGUUAGGCACCCACACUGCCAUCAAGGGAAUUCUAGUCAGGACGGCCCCAAACCACGACGGCCCUCCGCGACGGCCCCCCAGGACGGCCCCAAAUUCUAGUCAGGACGGCCCUCAACCACAACGGCCCUCUACGACGGCCUCCCAGGAUGGCCCUUUGUUAGACAAACAAUGGGGAGCUUUCUAAGGGUAUGGCAGUCCUGCAAAUGCUGUGAGAGACAACAUCUGCAGCAUGCCCAACUCCACAGCAGUGCAUGUUGUCUCAUCUGGAGGUCCCCCACCUGCAUGGAUAUGAAUGUUGCAAUUAUCAGCCACUUAGAAGUUCACAUGUAAAACCAAAUCAACUUUGUGUUAAUCAUGAAUAUAUUAGAGCAUAUUGAUAUUAUUUAGCACUGCAGUGGUCACUGUCUGCCAGAGGUACUGUACAUGCUCCUAUUUAUAAUCCAUUGCUUAGUUGGUUCUUAGUUAUGUUUAUUGACUAUAUGGGUAAAUUUUGUAACAACUCCAAUAAUGAAAUACAACAUGUACACAAGAGCAAACUUCUUUUUAUAUAACUGCAGGGGUUUUAAGCACUGCUAACAAUCACCUAACCUAACUAACCUAAUCAUAACCUAACCCUCCUUCCUCAAAGUAAAACCAAUAUUCAAGAAAUAAAAUUUAUUACAGCAGUUUGGGUCUAAAAGGCUGAACAGAAAGAAACUUCUUUUUCUCCCAAUAUGCAACAAAAAGUCAUAUAGAGGAAUUUGUUCAUAUUACUCAAAACAAUGUCCAGCAAUGCCCAAAAACAUUAGUUAAUUAAAUUCCAUAAACAAUUAGGUCAAGACAAAAUAUUAAGCAAAUAUGCUAGUGUGGGUAAAUUUUUACUUUCAUCUGUUUAUCUUUUCCACUUGAAACUAUUUGCUUUUUGUUAUUUUUGGCCUACCCUGAAUUAGUAUGUUAAUCAAACCUGAUGUAACUUAACCAAAGUAAUCUUAACAUAACCAAAAUAAUAUAACCUAACCAAAGACAAACCUUAAAUAGCUAAAAUAACAUUGCUUCUCUAAAAAUCUGUACAUAUAAUUGUUUAACAAUUGCUGUCAUUAUUAUAAUUAAUUUGCAGUUGGUAUAUGUGGGGUUCAAAUUACUCUGGAAUGACAAAAUGUAUCUGAUGAGAAGGGUAAGAAAAGCCAUGUUGAGACUGGCGAAAGAGUAAAAGAAUACCCUACUAUGUGUCUCCUGGAACCAUAAGCCAUGAUUUUACUUACUUCCAGCAGGACAUCACACCAUUUUUUGGUAAUAUCACUGUAAUUCCAUCCAUAUACCUCUCUAUCCCUCUUCUGUGUCAACUGCACCAUGCUAAGCCUGCAACUGUGCUAACGAAAAUGUGAUAAGAAUAACC